GCAACACAGAAUUGAGCCAAGGAGGCUGCAUGUCUUCCUAGCAAUGAGAGAGGAGUCCUACUUCUUGAACUUACCUGCUUAUGGAGAAGGAAAAGGAGGGGGAUCAGCAGUGGUGUUACUGAAGAUGGCAUUAUUAUCGAUGGACUCUGUCUAGCAUGUGCCUUAAGGUUAUUAUGAUUUCCAGAAAGGUGCCAGGCAGUUACCUGAGAGGAAAAAAAAUAUGUCAACCCUAUGCACAUGCGGGGCCUUCCAUACAAAGAAUGGUUAUGAAAAUCCUGAGUGACAAGAUAUGUUAACAGUAGGAAGAUAUGAGCUGGAGUCCCUGGUUAAAAUCCCAAUCCAGUGGUGUACAUUUUCACGUCACUACAGUUCAAAAAUAGGAAACAAUAAAUUCAGAGUUGAAAAUAUGUUUUUGUGAAAAUGUUUUUUUUUUC